rnacentral:lncRNA from 10 species
CCUUGGUCACACAUAGUUCAUCCUGGCUCUAGUUGGUAAUGGAGGUGACCAUCUGUGUCAGCUAAUUAGCUUCAUGCAGAGGGAGGGGGAGAAACACUAACCCAUGUCUUUUUGACAAGUGUGAGUUUUACAACAUGGCUACAGGUGCCCUCUCUGGUGAGGCUCCUACAAUGUGACAGAAACUGAUGUCAGCAGUAAAUAAUAACAUUUAGAAUUUAUGAUUAAGUAUAGAGUUUAUCUGAACACAAAGCAUGAGGAUAGCCACCGGCAAACAUCAACUCCUAAUGAAUGGGAUCAACGUUCCCAAGUAGAGACGUUAAGGUUUCACACACAGGGAAAGACAGAGAAGUUUUAGGAGAAUCAACACAUUUUCCAUUCAAGACCAGUGCAUAGGUUGCAGCAAGUUGAUUGGUGACGGAGUCAUACACUUCAAGGAAGGUUAUGUUAUCACUCCAUAAAAAGGGACAAUGAUCCCAGGAGGCCUUAUCUCUGGGGCUGCUUAGUCUUCCUAGUUAUUUACAGGAGAACUCUUUUCCUGUAAAUAAGGGCAAGACUCGCCCAGGCUGGAGUGCAGUGGGGCGAUCUCGGCUCACUGCAACCUCCACCUCUUGGAUUCAAGCAGUUCUCCUGCCUCAGCCUCCCAAGUAGCUGGGAUUACAGGCACACGCCACCAUGCCUGUCUAAUUUUUUGUUUGUUUGUUUGAGACAGAGUCUCGCUCUGUUGCCUAGGCUGGAGUGCAGUGACACGAUCUCACCUGCUCACUGCAACCUCCACCUCCCGGGUUCAAGCGAUUCUCCUGGCCCAGCCGCUAAAUUUUGUAUUUUUAGUAGUGACAGGGUUUCGCCAUGUUGGGCAGGCUGGUCUCAAACUCCUGACCUUGUGAUCCGCCCGCCUCAGCCUUCCAAAAUGCUGGGAUUACAGGCGUGAGCCACCGCGCCUCGCCUUUUGUUUUGCAUUUUUAGUAGAGAGUGGGUUUUACCAUGUUGGCCAGGCUGGUUCCGAACUUCUGACCUCAAGUGAUCUGCCCGCCUUGACCUCCCAAUGUGCUGGGAUUACAGGCAUAAGCCACCGCAGCCAGCCAGGAAAACUCGUAGAAGUUACGCCUGCGUUCCGCUGGACUCAGGUUGCAUGAGCACAUUCCUCUCAAGGUGUAGCAGGAGCAGCCGCGGAUAAAAGCCCUCAGACACCCGGUUAAAGAAAGAAGUGGCUUUAUUCAGCCGGGAGCAUCGGCCAACUCACGUCUCAAGAACCGAGCUCUUUGAAGACUUUGUUUGGCCGGGAGUGUCGGCAGACCUGCCUCUCAAGAAUUGAACCCCCCGAAGAAAGAGUUCCUGGCCCUUUUAAGGGCUUACAGCUCUAAGGGGUUCCACGGGAAAAGGUCAUGACAGAUUAAGAGCACAUGUGGUUAGAGUUGGGGGGCAGUUAAUCUUUUAACCUCAGGCCUGGUCAUCAGUGGCGCUGGCUGGUCUUGUCACUGAAUUCAUUCCUGUUGUUUUUCAGCUUUUACUUCCUCCUCUUCAGAGACAGGAGACAGUAAGAGAAAUGGCCUCUCUCCUCAAAGGCUCAGAAUUAUUUAAAGGCCAUAGCUUUAAAUUGGAAUUAUUUGAUGUUUGAAUUACUUAAUUUCCUACUGAGAUACAGGUACUGUCUCCCUUGUAUUUUGCCUUUCAAAGAGAGCUCCCAAGUCCUUCAGAAAUACAUCCCUGGGUCAUUAAGCUGAAAAAAGGUUUAGUUCGUUUCUAAAAAAUACCACUUCAGACCAGGCGCGGUGGCUCAUGCCUGUAAUCCCAGCACAUUGAGAGGCCAAGGCGGGCAAAUCACUUGAGGUCAGGAGUUCAAAACCAGGCUUGUACCCGGGAGUCGGAGGUUGCGGUGAGCCAAGAUCGUGCAAUUGCACUCCAUCCUAAACAACUAGAGGAAAACUCCAUCUGAAAAAAAAAAAAAAAAAAAACUCAGAAGACAGAGAAAAUCCAUUUGCAAACUUUCGAAAUCAGUGUCCUAAGAAAAGAGAUGAAAGGAAAGAAAAUCUCUUCCUUUAUUUUCAAGGGAGGAAUUACACCUCUCAUUUAUUUACGUGUUUGUUUGAGACAGGGUCUAGCUCUGUCACUGAAGCUAGAGUGUGGUGGCGAGAUCAGGGCACUGCAGCUUCCAACUCCCUGGCUCAAGUGAUCCUCCCACCUAAGUGCCCCGAGCAGCUGGGGCCACAGGCGUGCACCACCACACCGGGC